rnacentral:rRNA from 1 species
UACGAAGGGGGCUAGCGUUGCUCGGAAUCACUGGGCGUAAAGCGCACGUAGGCGGAUUGUUAAGUCAGGGGUGAAAUCCUGGAGCUCAACUCCAGAACUGCCUUUGAUACUGGCGAUCUUGAGUCCGGGAGAGGUGAGUGGAACUGCGAGUGUAGAGGUGAAAUUCGUAGAUAUUCGCAAGAACACCAGUGGCGAAGGCGGCUCACUGGCCCG